CAGUAGCCACGGUAAUACGAAGGGUGUAAGCGUUAAUCGGAAUUACUGGGCGUAAAGCGUGCGUAGGCGGUUUGUUAAGUCUGAUGUGAAAGCCCCGGGCUCAACCUGGGAAUGGCAAUGGAUACUGGCGAGCUAGAGUGUGUCAGAGGAUGGUGGAAUUCCCGGUGUAGCGGUGAAAUGCGUAGAGAUCGGGAGGAACAUCAGUGGCGAAGGCGGCCAUCUGGGACAACACUGACGCUGAGGCACGAAAGCGUGGGGAGCAAACAGGAUUAGAUACCCCUGUAGUCCCUGUCUCUUAUAC
rnacentral:rRNA from 1 species